UACAGAGGGUGCAAGCGUUGUUCGGAAUUAUUGGGCGUAAAGCGCGUGUAGGCGGCCAGGCAAGUUGGGUGUGAAAGCCCUCGGCUUAACCGAGGAAGUGCGCCCAAAACUACUUGGCUUGAGUACCGGAGAGGAUGGUGGAAUUCCCGGUGUAGAGGUGAAAUUCGUAGAUAUCGGGAGGAACACCAGCGGCGAAGGCGACCAUCUGGACGGAUACUGACGCUGAGACGCGAAAGCGUGGGGAGCAAACAGG
rnacentral:rRNA from 1 species